GAUGAACGCUGGCGGCGUGCCUAAUACAUGCAAGUCGAGCGAACGGACGAGAAGCUUGCUCCUCUGAUGUUAGCGGCGGACGGGUGAGUAACACGUGGAUAACCUACCUAUAAGACUGGGAUAACUUCGGGAAACCGGAGCUAAUACCGGAUAAUAUUUUGAACCGCAUGGUUCAAAAGUAAAAGACGGUCUUGCUGUCACUUAUAGAUGGAUCCGCGCCGCAUUAGCUAGUUGGUAAGGUAACGGCUUACCAAGGCAACGAUGCAUAGCCGACCUGAGAGGGUGAUCGGCCACACUGGAACUGAGACACGGUCCAGACUCCUACGGGAGGCAGCAGUAGGGAAUCUUCCGCAAUGGGCGAAAGCCUGACGGAGCAACGCCGCGUGAGUGAUGAAGGUCUUCGGAUCGUAAAACUCUGUUAUUAGGGAAGAACAUAUGUGUAAGUAACUAUGCACAUCUUGACGGUACCUAAUCAGAAAGCCACGGCUAACUACGUG
rnacentral:rRNA from 1 species